GAACUUUCCAGAGAUGGAUUGGUGCCUUCGGGAACUGUGAGACAGGUGCUGCAUGGCUGUCGUCAGCUCGUGUUGUGAAAUGUUGGGUUAAGUCCCGCAACGAGCGCAACCCUUAUCCUUUGUUGCCAGCGGUCCGGCCGGGAACUCAAAGGAGACUGCCAGUGAUAAACUGGAGGAAGGUGGGGAUGACGUCAAGUCAUCAUGGCCCUUACGACCAGGGCUACACACGUGCUACAAUGGCGCAUACAAAGAGAAGCGACCUCGCGAGAGCAAGCGGACCUCAUAAAGUGCGUCGUAGUCCGGACUGGAGUCUGCAACUCGACUCCAUGAAGUCGGAAUCGCUAGUAAUCGUGGAUCAGAAUGCCACGGUGAAUACGUUCCCGGGCCUUGUACACACCGCCCGUCACACCAUGGGAGUGGGUUGCAAAAGAAGUAGGUAGCUUAACCUUCGGGAGGGCGCUUACCACUUUGUGAUUCAUGACUGGGGUGAAGUCGUAACAAGGUAACCGUAGGGGAACCUGCGGUUGGAUCACCUCCUUACCUUAAAGAA
rnacentral:rRNA from 1 species